UACAGAGGGUGCAAGCGUUGUUCGGAAUUAUUGGGCGUAAAGCGCGCGUAGGCGGCUUUGCAAGUCGGGUGUGAAAUCCCUCAGCUUAACUGAGGAAGUGCGCUCGAAACUGCAGAGCUUGAGUACUAAAGAGGAUGGCGGAAUUCCCCAAGUAGAGGUGAAAUUCGUAGAUAUUAGGAAGAACACCAGUGGCGAAGGCGGCUCACUGGCCCGGUACUGACGCUGAGGCGCGAAAGCGUGGGGAGCAAACAGG
rnacentral:rRNA from 1 species